UAAGGAAUAUUGGUCAAUGGACGAAAGUCUGAACCAGCCAUGCCGCGUGCAGGAUGAAGGCCUUAGGGUCGUAAACUGCUUUUAUACGGGAAAAAUAUGUGGAUUUCGAAUCCGCCUUGAUGGUACUGUAUGAAUAAGCAUCGGCUAACUCCGUGCCAGCAGCCGCGGUAAUACGGAGGAUGCGAGCGUUAUCCGGAUUUAUUGGAUUUAAAAAAUGCACAGGCAAAACAAUAAGUCAAUAAUGAAAGCCUACGGCUUAACUGUAGAAUUGCCGUUGAUACUGUCGUUCUUGAGUGCAGUUGAAGUGGGCGGAAUGUGUUAUGUAGCGGUGAAAUGCUUAGAUAUAACACAGAACACCGAUAGCGAAGGCAGCUCACUAAGCUGCAACUGACGCUCAGGCACGAAAGCGUGGGGAUCAAACAG
rnacentral:rRNA from 1 species